rnacentral:rRNA from 1 species
CCCGAAUUUAAUAGAGCUAAAUUUUUAUGAAAUUUAUUGUUUCAAAAAUAUUUUAAAUAAAAUUUUAGUGAUGAUACGUUAGUCGUUAUUAAAUAUAUCUGGUUUUUCAAGAAUUUAAUUUAAUUUAUUUUCAUUAUUUUAUAAUUUUUAUUAUUAAGUUUUAUAAAUAUGGGGAGUUAAAAUUUUAGGGAUAAGCUUAGGAUUUUAAUUUAUAAAUAGGAUUUUAUUAAACUAUAAUUAGUAGGAUUAGAAAUUUUCAUCUUUAAAUAAAGUGUUAUAAUUAAUUUUUGUUUAUAUAAAAUUUGUUUGAUUUUAAAUUUUUUAUUGAAAUAUUUAUUUUAAUAAUUAUAUAAAGCAAUAAUGAUAAAAUUAGUAUUAUUUUAUUUAUAAAUAUAAUUUUUAUUAAGAUAAAAGUAAGGAAUUCAGCAAAAUUACACUCGCCUGUUUAUCAAAAACAUGUCUUUUUGUAUAUAAUAUAAAGUCUAGCCUGCCCACUGAAAUUUUUGAAGGGCCGCAGUAUACUGACUGUGCAAAGGUAGCAUAAUCAUUUGCCUUUUAAUUAAAGGCUGGAAUGAAUGGCUGAACGAGGUGUAAACUGUCUCAUUUUUAUAAUUUAAUAAUUUAGCUUUUUAGUCAAAAGGCUAAAAUUUUGUUGAAGGACGAGAAGACCCUAUAGAACUUUAUAAUUUUACGUUUAUUAGAUUUUAGUAAAACAAUUUUUAUUAAAUUUAAAUUUAUUUUGUUGGGGUGACAGGAAGAUUAAAUUAACUCUUUUGAUUAUAAAACAUUGAUUUAUGAAUUUUUGAUCCAUUAAUAAUGAUUAAUAGAAUAAGUUACCUUAGGGAUAACAGCGUAAUUUUAUUGGAGAGUUCAUAUCGAUAAUAAAGUUUGCGACCUCGAUGUUGAAUUAAAGAGAUUCUUAAGUGCAGGAGCUUAAGGUAAUAGGUCUGUUCGACCUUUAAAUCUUUACAUGAUUUGAGUUCAGACCGGCGUGAGCCAGGUCGGUUUCUAUCCUUAAUUAGUUAAACCAUUAUUUAGUACGAAAGGACCAAUUAUG